CUCCGUCUCAUAUUACUUGUCGCUUUAAGUUUCUGUUUGUAAUGUUUGAUCAUUCGUCUUAUUCAAAAAAUUUUGGAAUUAUUAUUUAUUUUGUUUGUGACUUGUUUUAUUAUCAAAAGUACUUUAAGCUUGACUUAUUAUUUUUUAUAUUUGCACUAAUUUUUAAAUAAAACGAAUGGUCAAACGUUUCAAGAAAAAAGUCAAAGCGACAAGUAAUAUGGGACGGAGGC
rnacentral:pre_miRNA from 1 species